GAUGAACGCUGGCGGCGUGCCUAAUACAUGCAAGUCGAGCGAACGGACGAGAAGCUUGCUUCUCUGAUGUUAGCGGCGGACGGGUGAGUAACACGUGGAUAACCUACCUAUAAGACUGGGAUAACUUCGGGAAACCGGAGCUAAUACCGGAUAAUAUUUUGAACCGCAUGGUUCAAAAGUAAAAGACGGUCUUGCUGUCACUUAUAGAUGGAUCCGCGCUGCAUUAGCUAGUUGGUAAGGUAACGGCUUACCAAGGCAACGAUGCAUAGCCGACCUGAGAGGGUGAUCGGCCACACUGGAACUGAGACACGGUCCAGACUCCUACGGGAGGCAGCAGUAGGGAAUCUUCCGCAAUGGGCGAAAGCCUGACGGAGCAACGCCGCGUGAGUGAUGAAGGUCUUCGGAUCGUAAAACUCUGUUAUUAGGGAAGAACAUAUGUGUAAGUAACUGUGCACAUCUUGACGGUACCUAAUCAGAAAGCCACGGCUAACUACGUGCCAGCAGCCGCGGUAAUACGUAGGUGGCAAGCGUUAUCCGGAAUUAUUGGGCGUAAAGCGCGCGUAGGCGGUUUUUUAAGUCUGAUGUGAAAGCCCACGGCUCAACCGUGGAGGGUCAUUGGAAACUGGAAAACUUGAGUGCAGAAGAGGAGAGUGGAAUUCCAUGUGUAGCGGUGAAAUGCGCAGAGAUAUGGAGGAACACCAGUGGCGAAGGCGACUUUCUGGUCUGUAACUGACGCUGAUGUGCGAAAGCGUGGGGAUCAAACAGGAUUAGAUACCCUGGUAGUCCACGCCGUAAACGAUGAGUGCUAAGUGUUAGGGGGUUUCCGCCCCUUAGUGCUGCAGCUAACGCAUUAAGCACUCCGCCUGGGGAGUACGACCGCAAGGUUGAAACUCAAAGGAAUUGACGGGGACCCGCACAAGCGGUGGAGCAUGUGGUUUAAUUCGAAGCAACGCGAAGAACCUUACCAAAUCUUGACAUCCUUUGACAACUCUAGAGAUAGAGCCUUCCCCUUCGGGGGACAAAGUGACAGGUGGUGCAUGGUUGUCGUCAGCUCGUGUCGUGAGAUGUUGGGUUAAGUCCCGCAACGAGCGCAACCCUUAAGCUUAGUUGCCAUCAUUAAGUUGGGCACUCUAAGUUGACUGCCGGUGACAAACCGGAGGAAGGUGGGGAUGACGUCAAAUCAUCAUGCCCCUUAUGAUUUGGGCUACACACGUGCUACAAUGGACAAUACAAAGGGCAGCGAAACCGCGAGGUCAAGCAAAUCCCAUAAAGUUGUUCUCAGUUCGGAUUGUAGUCUGCAACUCGACUACAUGAAGCUGGAAUCGCUAGUAAUCGUAGAUCAGCAUGCUACGGUGAAUACGUUCCCGGGUCU
rnacentral:rRNA from 1 species